AGAACGAACGCUGGCGGCAUGCCUAAUACAUGCAAGUCGAACGAACUCUUCGGAGUUAGUGGCGCACGGGUGCGUAACGCGUGGGAAUCUGCCCCUUGGUUCGGAAUAACAGUUGGAAACGACUGCUAAUACCGGAUGAUGACGAAAGUCCAAAGAUUUAUCGCCAAGGGAUGAGCCCGCGUAGGAUUAGCUAGUUGGUGAGGUAAAGGCUCACCGAGGCAACGAUCCUUAGCUGGUCUGAGAGGAUGAUCAGCCACACUGGGACUGAGACACGGCCCAGACUCCUACGGGAGCAGCAGUAGGGAAUAUUGGACAAUGGGCGAAAAGCCUAGACUCCAGACAAUCGCC
rnacentral:rRNA from 1 species